UCUGUCCCUCACUCCUCGCUGACGGCCUUGCUUUCCGCGUGCACUCCCGCUCGCCGUCCGCCCUGCAGAAAUGCUCCGAUUACCUGCAGUCCUUCGGCAGAUGAGGCCAGUGUCUAGGGCCCUGGCUCCUCAUUUAACUCGGGCUUAUGCCAAAGAUGUCAAAUUUGGUGCUGAUGCCCGAGCCUUAAUGCUUCAAGGUGUAGACCUUUUAGCUGAUGCUGUAGCUGUUACUAUGGGGCCAAAGGGAAGAACAGUCAUUAUUGAACAGAGAUGGGGAAGUCCCAAAGUUACAAAAGAUGGUGUAACUGUUGCAAAAUCAAUUGACUUGAAGGAUAAAUACAAAAAUAUUGGGGCCAAGCUUGUUCAGGAUGUUGCCAAUAACACAAAUGAAGAGGCUGGAGAUGGUACUACCACAGCUACUGUACUGGCACGCUCUAUUGCCAAGGAAGGCUUCGAGAAGAUUAGCAAAGGUGCUAAUUCAGUGGAAAUCAGGAGAGGUGUGAUGUUGGCUGUUGAUGCUGUAAUUGCUGAGCUUAAGAAGCAGUCUAAACCUGUGACAACUCCUGAAGAAAUUGCUCAAGUUGCUACAAUUUCUGCAAAUGGAGAUAAAGAAAUUGGCACCAUCAUUUCAGAUGCAAUGAAAAACGUUGGGAGAAAGGGUGUCAUUACAGUAAAGGAUGGAAAAACACUGAAUGACGAAUUAGAAAUUAUUGAAGGCAUGAAGUUUGACCGAGGCUAUAUUUCCCCAUAUUUUAUUAAUACAUCAAAAGGUCAGAAAUGUGAAUUCCAGGAUGCAUAUGUUUUAUUGAGCAAAAAGAAAAUUUCUAGUGUCCAGUCCAUUGUACCUGCUCUAAAUUGCCAGUGCUCACCGUAAGCCUUUGGUCAUAAUUGCUGAAGAUGUUGAUGGAGAAGCUCUAAGUACUCUUGUAUUGAAUAGGCUAAAAGUUGGGCUUCAGGUUGUAGCCGUCAAAGCUCCAGGUUUUGGUGACAAUAGAAAGAACCAGCCUAAAGACAUGGCAAUUGCUACUGGUGGAGCAGUGUUUGGAGAAGAGGGAUUGACCCUGAAUCUUGAAGAUGUUCAGCUGCAUGACUUGGAAAAAGUUGGAGAGGUCAUUGUGACCAAAGAUGAUGCCAUGCUCUUGAAAGGCAAAGGUGACAGGGCUCAAAUUGAAAAACAUAUUCAAGAAAUCAUCGAGCAAUUAGACAUUACAACUAGUGAAUAUGAAAAAGAAAAACUGAAUGAACGUCUGGCAAAACUUUCAGAUGGAGUGGCAGUGCUGAAAGUUGGUGGGACAAGUGACAUGGAAGUAAAUGAAAAGAAAGACAGAGUUACAGAUGCCCUUAACGCAACACGAGCUGCCGUUGAAGAAGGCAUUGUUCUUGGAGGAGGCUGUGCUCUGCUUCGGUGCAUUCCAGCUUUGGACUCACUCACUCCAGCUAAUGAAGAUCAAAAAAUUGGUAUUGAAAUUAUUAAAAGAACACUCAAAAUUCCUGCAAUGACCAUUGCCAAGAAUGCUGGUGUUGAAGGAUCAUUAAUAGUUGAGAAAAUUUUGCAGAGUUCCUCAGAAAUCGGUUAUGAUGCUAUGCUUGGAGAUUUUGUGAAUAUGGUAGAAAAAGGAAUCAUUGAUCUAACUAAGGUUGUAAGAACUUCUUUGUUGGAUGCUGCUGGAGUCGCGUCUCUGUUAACCACAGCAGAAGUUGUAGUCACAGAAAUUCCUAAAGAAGAGAAGGACCCGGGCAUGGGUGGAACGGGAGGUGGAAUGGGUGGUAUGGGAGGAGGCAUGUUCUAAUACCCAGAUAGUGCUUUACCACUUAUUAAUGAACUGUGACAGGAAGUGCAAGGCAUUGUUCCUCACCAAUAACUUCAGAGAAGUCAGUGGAAGGAAAUGGUGGGAGAAAAGGCUGGCUGAUGUCUAAGAAAAUCACUAUAACCAUCAGUUACUGGUUUUAGUUGACAAUAUGUAAUGGGGUUUACUGCUGUCAUUGUCCAUGCCAACAGAUAAUUUAUUUUGUAUUUUUGAAUAAAAAAAGACAUUUGUACA